rnacentral:rRNA from 1 species
GAUGAACGCUGGCGGCGUGCCUAAUACAUGCAAGUCGAGCGAACAGACGAGGAGCUUGCUCCUCUGACGUUAGCGGCGGACGGGUGAGUAACACGUGGAUAACCUACCUAUAAGACUGGGAUAACUUCGGGAAACCGGAGCUAAUACCGGAUAAUAUAUUGAACCGCAUGGUUCAAUAGUGAAAGACGGUUUUGCUGUCACUUAUAGAUGGAUCCGCGCCGCAUUAGCUAGUUGGUAAGGUAACGGCUUACCAAGGCGACGAUGCGUAGCCGACCUGAAAGGGUGAUCGGCCACACUGGAACUGAGCCACGGUCCAGACUCCUACGGGAGGCAGCAGUAGGGAAUCUUCCGCAAUGGGCGAAAGCCUGACGGAGCACCGCCGCGUGAGUGAUGAAGGUCUUCGGAUCGUAAAACUCUGUUAUUAGGGAAGAACAAAUGUGUAAGUAACUAUGCACGUCUUGACGGUACCUAAUCAGAAAGCCACGGCUAACUCCGUG